GCGGGUGUGUUGUAGCGGUAGCAAACAACCUUCCCAAGGUUGCAGUGGCAGUUCGACUCUGCUCACCCGCU
rnacentral:tRNA from 1 species